GAGUGCCAAGCCCGGAAGGGAGGGCAAAGGGCCAUGUUGUCCGCCUGCCCCACCCCACUGACAGGAGUUCCAGUCACCACCAGGCCACCUCUCUGUCUGGGGCCCUAGAGGGAGCCCAGAACUGCAAGUUGCUGGAGAACUGGGGGACACCCAGACAGAGCCUUCGCUGGCCCAGGUCCUCCAGGAGCGGGAUGAAGCCAUUGCCAAGAAGCAGGCAGUGGAGGCAGAGCUGGACACAUGCAAAGCCAAGUUGCAAGCUGUGGAGGCCCAGCUCCUGGAGGUCCUGGAGGAGAAACUGAGGCUGAGGCAGGAGGUGGAGGCCUGGGAGGAGGACAUGCAGCAGCUGGUGCGACAGCAGGUCAAGAGUCAGUUGCAGAGAGAGUCCAGGGGCACUCAGGGAGCCCCCGUGAACCCCGGAACUGGCAGGGCCCCCUGGGUCCGAUUCCUCCUGGGUCAGUGGGGACGCUGGCGGUGACACAGAGCUCAGGCUGGGACUUUGGGAGCAAUGUGUUUAUUCAUUAAAGCUGGAGGUCUGACCCUCUCUGGAUUCUCGUGCUC